GCCCGGUCCACCGACGCCUGCCGAUCGACCCCUGCUGCUCAGUCCACCGAACAAGCUAAUGUCACCCAAGGGUAGUCGUGUAGUGAGCUAAGCUACCUUUCACCAUGCCAUUUAAAGCCAAAAAAGAAGUAGUGUGCACUUACGAUGUUACCAACCUAAAGUCGCUAUCAGCGACGAUGGAACAGUUGUGAUCGAGAUCUUCGCUAUCGUCACCGGAAGUGUGUCCGCUCUGAUUCUCGUGCCGAUGAAUAACCACCACUUCCUCGUCCUCGGAAUCGCCUGCGACUCCAUCGCAAGAUCUCUCGACCUCUGGGUCGCUAUCCUGCGACGAGGUCGGCGAAUCGUCUAUCAUCACAUCGUGAACGAGC